rnacentral:tRNA from 1 species
GGCGGCCCCGGUCAGGGCGUCGGUGAUCAGGCCGGUGAUGUUGGCCUCGACGACCGGCACCGGGUUCGAGGCCGGGGCGGCCGCCA